CCGAUGUCAAGGAAAGAAACGACUACCUGACUUUUAGAAGACACCUGAAGAUCCUGUAAGACAGGCGCCGACACGGACCACAGCUGCGAACCGUGAGGCAGAUGUACUGAUACAGUUUGUCUUCCGCGACUGAGGGAAGUGAUGGAG